rnacentral:rRNA from 1 species
UUCUGGCUCAGGAUGAACGCUAGCUACAGGCUUAACACAUGCAAGUCGAGGGGCAUCAUGGGCGUAGCAAUACGCCUGAUGGCGACCGGCGCACGGGUGCGUAACACGUAUCCAAUCUGCCCAUUGCUCAGGCACAGCCCGUUGAAAGACGGAUUAAUUCCUGAUGGUUUCCUUUUUGCCGCAUGGCGGAAAGAAUAAAGAUUCAUCGGCGAUGGAUGAGGAUGCGUCCGAUUAGCUAGCUGGCGGGGUAACGGCCCACCAGGGCGACGAUCGGUAGGGGUUCUGAGAGGAAGGUCCCCCACACUGGAACUGAGACACGGUCCAGACUCCUACGGGAGGCAGCAGUGAGGAAUAUUGGUCAAUGGCCGUAAGGCUGAACCAGCCAAGUAGCGUGAAAGGAUGACUGCCCUACGGGUUGUAAACUUCUUUUAUUGGGGAAUAACGUGUCCCACUUGUGGGGCAGUGCAUGUACCCUAUGAAUAAGCAUCGGCUAAUUCCGUGCCAGCCGCUGC